UACGAAGGGGGCUAGCGUUGUUCGGAAUUACUGGGCGUAAAGGGCGCGUAGGCGGUCGUGACAAGUCACUUGUGAAAUCUCCGGGCUUAACUCGGAACGGUCAAGUGAUACUGUCGGACUAGAGUGCAGAAGGGGCAACUGGAAUUCUCGGUGUAGCGGUGAAAUGCGUAGAUAUCGAGAGGAACACCUGCGGCGAAGGCGGGUUGCUGGGCUGACACUGAGGCGCGAAAGCGUGGGGAGCGAACAGG
rnacentral:rRNA from 1 species